rnacentral:rRNA from 1 species
GUCCAGACUCCUACGGGCGGCAGCAGUAGGGAAUCUUCCGCAAUGGGCGAAAGCCUGACGGAGCAACGCCGCGUGAGUGAUGAAGGUCUUCGGAUCGGAAAACUCUGUUAUUAGGGAAGAACAUAUGUGUAAGUAACUGGGCACAUCUUGACGGUACCUAAUCAGAAAGCCACGGCUAACUACGUGCCAGUAGCCGCGGUAAUACGUAGGUGGCAACCGUUAUCCGGCAUUAUUGUGCUUCACGCGCGCGUAGGCGGCCGUUCAAGCCUGAGGUGAAAGCCCACGGCUCGACCGUGGAGGGUGACUGGCACCCGGAAAACUUGAGUUCAGAAAGGCAACCGUGACUUCCAUGGCUAGCGGUGAACUGUGCACAGCUGCGCACGAACACCAGUCGCGAA